rnacentral:rRNA from 1 species
CGUGUAGGCGGUUGAAAAGUCAGGUGUGAAAUUCUUCGGCUCAACCGAGGGACUGCGCCUGAAACUUUUCGACUGGAGUUCGGGAGGGGCAACUGGAAUUCCUGGUGUAACGGUGAAAUGUGUAGAUAUCAGGAGGAACACCGGUGGCGAAGGCGGGUUGCUGGACCGAAACUGACGCUGAGAUGCGAAAGCGUGGGUAGCAAACA